AACGAACGCUGGCGGCAGGCCUAACACAUGCAAGUCGAACGCUCCGCAAGGGGAGUGGCGCACGGGUGAGUAACACGUGGGAACCUACCUUCUGGUACGGAACAACCAAGGGAAACUUUGGCUAAGACCGUAUACGACCUCCGGGUGAAAGAUUGAUCGCCGGAAGAGGGGCCCGCGUCCGAUUAGGUAGUUGGUGAGGUAACGGCUCACCAAGCCUUCGAUCGGUAGCUGGUCUGAAGAGGAUGACCAGCCACACUGGGACUGAGACACGGCCCAGACUCCUACGGGAGGCAGCAGUGGGAAUAUUGGACAAUGGGCGCAAGCCUGAUCCAGCCAUGCCGCGUGAGUGAUGAAGGCCUUCGGUUGU
rnacentral:rRNA from 1 species